AUGAGGAUGCUGGACUGCCAUCAUUCCUCCUUCACUGUGCGGUGCCUCCUGCGAGUGUCACCUCGUCCCACCGGCUUCCAGCGCCGUGGAUCCGCCGGGAUGGAGGGCAACAACCGGAGCUGGGUCAAGGAGCUGGCUCUGCCUUCGCCAUUGCCUGAGAGAAGCAACACUGUGGUAGGUGAUCCUUAUGCCGGCGGUGAUAGCGACCACCACUGGUUGUUCUUGAGCUCCAAGGCUGGCCUUAGGUUAGCAAUUCGGCAUCGGCACACUUCGAAUCUAUACCCCAGAGAGUUGGGUCAGGGAAGAAAUCAAAGCAGUGACGGCUCUGCACUAGCUGUGCAGGGAUCGAAAGCCUAUAGCCUAAAUCGAGCUAAACCGGCACAAACUGCAGACGGCAUUCCUCGAAGUUCUACCUACAUCUACAACUGCACAAAAGCUUGGAUCUUUGUAGUGUGUCUCCUCAUCAGUAGAGAUUACAUAUAUCAACAAAUAAGUUGGUCACAUUAUAUACUUAAAGAUUACAGCAGUCAGCAGAUUUUCUUGAAGUACAAUAGCCUCUUCUUCUUGGAAGAAAUAGAUUGUUGUCUGUACCUCAGGUCUAACAGGGCUUGCGUUCAAGACCUAGCGGGGCUGGGCCAACCGGUCCUUCAUGUUCAAGAUAUGGCCCUGAUGAGCCCUAACAACCCGUGCUACCGGCCGGGCACCUUCUUCCUGAGCCGGGUCCGGAACCAGACCAACAGGGACACACUGAGCGAGUACUUGUGGCAUGCUGUCAAGUCGGAGGGGUGCAACCAGGCAGCUGCCGUGUGUGUCCAGGUUCAUAUAGUCAAGGUGUUCGCUCAUCGCCCAGUACGAGUGGAAACGGGCGACAUGGUGACAUUGCUGCAAAACAACGAGGAAGGAACAUAUGGUUGA
rnacentral:rRNA from 1 species